rnacentral:rRNA from 1 species
UAGGGAAUCUUCGGCAAUGGACGAAAGUCUGACCGAGCAACGCCGCGUGAGUGAAGAAGGUUUUCGGAUCGUAAAACUCUGUUGUUAGAGAAGAACAAGGACGUUAGUAACUGAACGUCCCCUGACGGUAUCUAACCAGAAAGCCACGGCUAACUACGUGCCAGCAGCCGCGGUAAUACGUAGGUGGCAAGCGUUGUCCGGAUUUAUUGGGCGUAAAGCGAGCGCAGGCGGUUUCUUAAGUCUGAUGUGAAAGCCCCCGGCUCAACCGGGGAGGGUCAUUGGAAACGGGGAGACUUGAGUGCAGAAGAGGAGAGGGGAAUUCCAUGUGUAGCGGUGAAAUGCGUAGAGAUAUGGAGGAACAGCAGUGGCGAAGGCGGCUCUCUGGUCUGUAACUGACGCUGAGGCGCGAAAGCGUGGGGAGCAAACAGG